rnacentral:lncRNA from 1 species
UUUCCUAUUCCCCUGCCAGGCUCUCCCUGCUGACAUUGUUUCGCGGGAGAGCUGUGAAUACUGAAGAUUAGGUUGCUUCUCACCCCAAGCUCCAGAAGUCCAGGCUGAGCCAAACCAAGCUUCAAGUUGUGCCUGGACUUGGAGAACCAGGAAGUGAGGGGACUGACUACUUGAAGAUCACAUGGAGGAGGAGUCUGAUCCAGGCCCAGGCACCGAGGAAAGGCCAUGCAAGGGCAUAAGGAGAAGGGCAGCUGUCUGUAAGCCAGAAAGAGCCUUCACUAGAAACCAAAUCAGCCAGAACCUUCAUCUUGGACUUUCCAGCCUUCAGAGAUGUGAAAAAAAUAAAUUUCUAUUGAUUAACCUA